ACUUGGCCAGAUGUGUUAAGCAGCUGAGAUGUUGCUAUGAGAGGCAGUGACUUGUGAACUACGCACUGUAGAGUCCCAGGGCACAAGAAAGACUUUUUGACUAUGGAAAUGCCUUUAAAAAUAAAAAUAGUAUCACAUACUGCUGCUAGAGCCACCUAACCCCCUUUCUCUGCACAGAAAACCAGCAUAUGAGAUACUCCCAUAGAUACAGUCAGAGGAUGCAGCUUCUUUAAGAGAUCAGAGCAGAGACCAUGCGGACCCCAAGGACAAUUCCAUAGGGUGUAAGGAGCUUCUCCCAGGAGGAACUGCUGGUGACCAUGGCCAAACUUUCUUUUGGUUUCCCGUGAAAAGGAGCUGAAAAACUGUAAUGAAUCUGUGCAGUCUUAGAUUAAUUCCUGCUUUGUCAUAAUCCUCCCUACCUACCUAGGACCUUGUGCUUUCUAUGUCUGUCUUGCAGUGGGAGAAGAAUGGCUGGCCUAAGCCUCUGUCCUCCAAAGGACUGGAUGGUAUCAGAACCCUCCAAAGCAAAAAGUCCAUAAGAUUUUAAAGGUGAUUGGUGAAGUAAAGGCCUGGAGUAGACACUGCACUGAACAAAUCUCCCAUUGAAACCAGGGCAGGUUUUCACUUGUGAGUUUUCUCUGUGGGGCACAAUAGGAACCAAAUAGAAACAAAAAUAUUUGUAUAACAAGAUGAAACAUGAACAAGGCCUUAGAAAACAGCAAAAGUUGCCUUUUGGGACUAGUCUUGGGGCCUACAUAUUCUGCUGUCAUUACCUGGCAUCCUUUGUAUACUCCAGCAUCACAGAGUGCAGGUCCCCACAAGAAGUUGCCUCACAGCCAACCACGAUCUAUAGCACAAAUAAUAUUGGCUGCUAUAACAAUUCAGGUAGAUCCACUGGGACUGGAGGCUGCGGAGAUCCUGGGCAGACAAAGCUUCAAUAAAGCACCAGAUCCGCAAGUCAAUUAAUUCUAGUCCUCACUGCGACUCACCCUUUCUCUUGCUACUAUAUAUAACUUCUUUUGCUAUAGAUUGUAUCUGCCUCCGUGUCCCAGACAUGACAUACUGCUUGUGCUGUAAAGGAGCACUGGGGACCCUCAUGCAUCAACAUAUCAACUGUAAUGGAUUGGAUUCACUGCUGGUGAGUCUUUGUGCCUUCUCAGAUUUACUCCAACAUUUGCCACACAAUUCAAAGGAAAUAAA